rnacentral:rRNA from 1 species
UGAGGAAUAUUGGUCAAUGGACGAGAGUCUGAACCAGCCAAGUCGCGUGAAGGAAGACGGCCCUACGGGUUGUAAACUUCUUUUGUAAGGGAAUAAAUAGUCUUACGCGCUAAGACGUUGCAGGUACCUUACGAAUAAGGAUCGGCUAACUCCGUGCCAGCAGCCGCGGUAAUACGGAGGAUCCGAGCGUUAUCCGGAUUUAUUGGGUUUAAAGGGUGCGCAGGCGGCAUGUUAAGUCGGCGGUGAAAUUUUGCAGCUCAACUGUAAAAGAGCCUUCGAAACUGGCAAGCUUGAGUGUGGAUGAAGUAGGCGGAAUUUGUGGUGUAGCGGUGAAAUGCAUAGAUAUCACAAAGAACACCGAUUGCGCAGGCAGCUUACUAAACCAUAACUGACGCUCAUGCACGAAGGCGUGGGGAUCAAACAG